rnacentral:rRNA from 1 species
UACGUAGGGUGCGAGCGUUAAUCGGAAUUACUGGGCGUAAAGCGUGCGCAGGCGGUCUGUUAAGACCGAUGUGAAAUCCCCGGGCUUAACCUGGGAACUGCAUUGGUGACUGGCAGGCUUUGAGUGUGGCAGAGGGAGGUAGAAUUCCACGUGUAGCGGUGGAAUGCGUAGAGAUCGGGAAGAACAUCAGUGGCGAAGGCGGCCUGCUGGGCUGCUGCUGACGCUGAGGCGCGACAGCGUGGGGAGCAAACAGG